rnacentral:rRNA from 1 species
CCUACGGGAGGCAGCAGUGGGGAAUAUUGCACAAUGGAGGAAACUCUGAUCCAGCGACGCCGCGUGAGUGAUGAAGUAUUUCGGUAUGUAAAGCUCUAUUAGCAGGGAAGAAAAUGACGGUAUCUGAUUCAGCAGCUCCGGCUAAUUACGUGCCAGCAGCCGCGGUAAUACGUAGGGGGCCAGCGUUAUCCGGAUUUACUGGGUGUAAAGGGAGCGUAGGCGGUAGCACAAGUCAGUAGUGAAAUGCCGGGGCUUAACCCCGGAACUGCUUUGGAAACUGUGCGGCUAGAGUGCAGUAGAGGUAAGUGGAAUUCCUAGUGUAGCGGUGAAAUGCGUAGAUAUUAGGAGGAACACCAGUGGCGAAGGCGGCUUACUGGACUGUAACUGACACUGAGGCUCGAAAGCGUGGGGAGCAAACAGGAUUAGAUACCCGAGUAGUC